rnacentral:rRNA from 1 species
UACUUGUACCGACUGGAUGAGCAGCGAACGGGUGAGUAACGCGUGGGGAAUCUGCCUUUGAGCGGGGGACAACAUUUGGAAACGAAUGCUAAUACCGCAUAAAAACUUUAAACACAAGUUUUAAGUUUGAAAGAUGCAAUUGCAUCACUCAAAGAUGAUCCCGCGUUGUAUUAGCUAGUUGGUGAGGUAAAGGCUCACCAAGGCGAUGAUACAUAGCCGACCUGAGAGGGUGAUCGGCCACAUUGGGACUGAGACACGGCCCAAACUCCUACGGGAGGCAGCAGUAGGGAAUCUUCGGCAAUGGACGAAAGUCUGACCGAGCAACGCCGCGUGAGUGAAGAAGGUUUUCGGAUCGUAAAACUCUGUUGGUAGAGAAGAACGUUGGUGAGAGUGGAAAGCUCAUCAAGUGACGGUAACUACCCAGAAAGGGACGGCUAACUACGUGCCAGCAGCCGCGGUAAUACGUAGGUCCCGAGCGUUGUCCGGAUUUAUUGGGCGUAAAGCGAGCGCAGGUGGUUUAUUAAGUCUGGUGUAAAAGGCAGUGGCUCAACCAUUGUAUGCAUUGGAAACUGGUAGACUUGAGUGCAGGAGAGGAGAGUGGAAUGUCCAUGGGGGGGGCGGGGGG